rnacentral:rRNA from 1 species
ACGCAGCAAACUGUGCGUCAUCGUGUGAACUGCAGGACACAUGAACAUCGACAUUUUGAACGCAUAUCGCAGUCCAUGCUGAAUGUAUUUUAAUAUCUAAUUAAAAUGCUGCUUGGACUACAUAUGGUUGAGGGUUGUAAGACUAUUCUAAAUAAGUUGCUUUAUAUUAUAUAUAUAUAUAUAUAAUAAAAGCACAUGUUAUAUUACUGGAGAAACUAACUAAACUGAUUGUCCAUAAUAUUAAUAACCAAAGAUAACAAAACCUACAUUUUGAAUAAAAGAAAAUAAUGAAUAUGGGAUUACUAAUUAUAUUAUUUCUUAUAUUUGUUUUUCUUUAUUGAGGAAAGUCUAGCAUAAAAAAUUUAUUAUGAAACUAGAAUUGUCUCUUGAAAAAUUAAAAUAUAUAUUAUAUUGAAAAGAAAUAAUUUUUAUUCAAUGGUUUUAGUAUAUUUUUUGAAAAAUAAAUAUAUAAAUACAACCUCAACUCAUAUGGGAUUACCCCCUGAAUUUAA